CACGAGAUCGUAUUACGUACAAUGAGAAAGCCUUGAAGAAAAAAAAAUAUUUAUUUAUUUUUGUAAAUAAUAUCACGUUAUACAUAUUAUAAUGAGUCGAUAUAUUUUUAUAUGAUUUUAUCAAAAAAAUUCCAAGAAACUGUAGAAAAUAUCUCGUAACUGAUUUAUUGCAAUAUAAAGGAUAUUACAGAUUUUAAAACAUGAUAUUUUUUCACUCACCGUAUGUAACAAACUAUUAUUAUUUUUCUAUUGUACUUAACUAACCAUAGUUAUCUAAAUAAUCCAAACAAACCGACCGUUUCUAGAGUGAGUGGCAAAAGGAAUGGUGGUUGGUACACGAGGUCCCAAGUUCGAAUCUUAGUUGAUUCGCAUUUCCAACUAAGUUUAUUUCUAAAUGAAAUAAACGAAGCGGGUAGCGUGCUACCCAUCUCUCAAAAAAAGAAAUAAUCCAAACAAACUUACAAAACAUGAAGACGAAAGCUUCGUUUGGGAUUGCAGGGAGAUUGCGUUAUGUGCAGUGAGAAACGACAAUGGAAAAUACCCUGUUUGUUUUCAUACGUAAUAUUGCGUUCCGCAUAUCGUGAUGAGUCGAUUACGAUAUAUUUUCUGCGGUCCCAUCGGAGAACGCAGAAGCAUAUCUAGGGGUGGAAACGAGCCGAGCUCGAGCGAGCUUACCUCGGCUCAAACCGAGCUCGAGCCCUAAACGAGCCGCUUGAAAUUCUCAACAUCAUACGAUCAAUAGUUUAAUUUGUAUAGAACAUUAUCUAUAAUUUGAUACAAAAAUAUGUCUAAUAGUUCAAAGUACAAAAUAAUUAUAUAAAAUAUAGUAUUAUAAUAUGAAAAAAAUAAUUUAUGAGUUGAAUAUCUAAUCUUUUCAGUCUCACAUGUCUUUUCUUCCGCCUUCAAUCUCCAUAUUAUUCAUUUUCAUUUAUGCAGUCAAAAAUAAAUAAAUUAUAUAGAUAAAUAUUGGAUUAAACUCUCCAAUCAUAUAGAACAAAAAUUAAAAUUUUAUAUGAAUAAUAAUUUUUUACUUUAAAUAUUCUGUAUAUUUUCUCAAGCUUACAAUUAAUAGCAAGGUAGGCAACGGCAGACAUAUACUGUUUGUUACUUGGUAAUUUUGAGGGCUUUCGGCUUGGCUGCUUAGGGUGAGAGACAGAAAAAGAGAAAGAGAGAAAUAUAUUGAAAAUUUAGAGUUCUGUGAAAGAAAGAAAGAAAGAAAGGAAAUAUAUAUAAAUUUAGUGAAAUUUUGCUAUUUUAUUUGUCUAUUGGCUUUGUUUUUAUGGGCCAACAACAUUGGCCAAAUUUUAACUAAACUCAGAUUAUUCACUCAGCCUAUAUAUAAUUAAAAUAUAUUAUAUUUAUAUAUUUUUUAAUAUAUAUAUAUAUAUAUAUAUAGUGUAGAACUACUAUGCUAUCGAAAAUAUAGAGGAUUUGAUGU
rnacentral:lncRNA from 1 species